rnacentral:rRNA from 1 species
AUUGAACGCUGGCGGCAUGCCUUACACAUGCAAGUCGAACGGAUCAGGGGAGCUUGCUCUUCUGGUUAGUGGCGAACGGGUGAGUAAUGCAUCGGAACGUACCCAGUAGUGGGGGAUAGCCCGGCGAAAGCCGGAUUAAUACCGCAUACGACCUACGGGUGAAAGCGGGGGAUCGCAAGACCUUGCGCUAUUGGAGCGGCCGAUGUCAGAUUAGCUAGUUGGCGGGGUAAAGGCCUACCAAGGCGACGAUCUGUAGCUGGUCUGAGAGGACGACCAGCCACACUGGGACUGAGACACGGCCCAGACUCCUACGGGAGGCAGCAGUGGGGAAUUUUGGACAAUGGGGGCAACCCUGAUCCAGCCAUGCCGCGUGCGGGAAGAAGGCCUUCGGGUUGUAAACCGCUUUUGUCGGGGAAGAAACGGCCUGCGCUAAUACCGCGGGCUAAUGACGGUACCCGAAGAAUAAGCACCGGCUAACUACGUGCCAGCCGCCGCAGUAA